rnacentral:tRNA from 1 species
UCCUUGGUGGUCCAAUGGCUAAGACUCUACACUCCCAAAGCAGGAGGCCCAGGUUCAAUUUCUGGUCAGAGAA